GGAGCCCGACGUGGGAUUCGAUCCCGGGUCUCCAGGAUCGCGCCCUGGGCCAAAGGCCAGAAGCAGAGCAGUGAGAAGCCAGGCCCCAGCUGUACCAUUCGCUUUGCAGCAUCAGAAGAUGGAAACGUUGCUCGCGCCCCGGUGAUUCCGCGGUCAAGAUGAUUGACGACACAUGCAUCACCUUGCAAGUUAACCGCCCCCCUUUCCUGUGGCGAGAAUGCUCACGGUCUACUCUCAGCGACUACAAGGU